UACGUAGGGGGCAAGCGUUGUCCGGAUUUAUUGGGCGUAAAGAGCGUGUAGGCGGUUUGGUAGGUCCGCUGUGAAAACUCGAGGCUCAACCUCGAGACGCCGGUGGAAACCAUCAGGCUAGAGUCCGGAAGAGGAGAGUGGAAUUCCUGGUGUAGCGGUGAAAUGCGCAGAUAUCGGGAGGAACACCAGUGGCGAAGGCGGCGACCUGGACGGACACUGACGCUGAGACGCGAAAGCGUGGGGAGCAAACAGG
rnacentral:rRNA from 1 species